UUGCGCUCGUCUUAAGCUUUUGUUCAUCUGUUUCCAAGCGCGCGCCGGAGAGCAGGAGCCAUUGCGAAUCGACACAGCGGUUCAGCAGCAGCAGCAGCCAGUCGUGUGCCUCCUAUUACCUCUUGAAGAAAGUGGAUACUAAAACAGUUUCGCCGUCGGACGUUUGGUGUUUAAAUCCUCUUUAACUCACAAACUCAACAUGGAGAACGAGAACAAAUACCUUCCGCAGCUGCUGGCGGAACGCGACAGCCUGGACGCGUCGUUCACGCACGCCUUGAAACUUAUAACAGCAGAAAUCGAGAGGGUUGAGAAAGGAGAGGCGGAGAAAGAUACAGACAGCUACCUGGACCUCUUCACCCAGAAAAACAUCAAACUGAAGGAAAGGAUUCUCAUACCAGUCAAACAGUACCCCAAGUUUAACUUUGUUGGGAAGAUCCUCGGACCGCAGGGGAACACAAUCAAGAGACUGCAGGAGGAGACUGGCGCUAAGAUCUCUGUGCUGGGGAAAGGAUCCAUGAGGGACAAAACCAAGGAGGAGGUCUUGAGGAAGGGUGGUGAACCAAAGUAUGCACACUUGUCCAUGGAGCUUCAUGUGUUUAUCGAGGUGUUUGCUCCUGUUCCUGAGGCAUAUGUGCGCAUGGCUCAUGCCAUGGAGGAGAUCAAAAAGUUCUUGUUCCCUGACAUGAUGGAUGAGAUUUGCCAGGAGCAGUUCAUGGAGAUGAAGUUUCUAAAUGGCGGUCAGGAACAUGGAGGCAGAGGCCGAGGAGGGCCACCCAUCAGAGGCCGUGGAGGUCUUCCUCCUCCUGGAGUACCCAGGGGUCGUGGUAUGCCCCCACGUGGUGGCCGUGGUGGACCUCCUCGAGGUGGAGCCACAAGGGGAGCUCCUGCAGGUAGAGGUGGACCAUCAUCCCAGCCGCCCAGAGGAGCAGCUUCCAACCGCGCCCGUCCACCCGCCCCUGCAUCUCAGCGGAUGCCCCCUCCACACCCUCCAACCCAAGAUUCAUACGAAGAUUAUUCGUAUGAUGAGAGCUACACAGAUGCAGGCUAUGAAUCCUAUGACAGCUACUACAGUCAGCCACAAGCAGAACCAGAAUACUAUGACUACGGACAUGGAGAGACACAAGAGGGAUAUGAAAACUACGCUCAAAAUGACUGGAACGGGACACAGCACUCUGCUGCCGGUGGAAAAGCUCCCCCUCAGAGACAGACUAAGCCUGGGUUAAGGGAGCACCCCUAUGGACGAUACUAAAUCUGACUAGUGGAACGUCACCCAACGCAUCGCCAUGACAACUGUUUCCCAUGGCAGCUCACGCUUUAAGCUACCCGACAAAAGUUGUGAUGCCUGGAAAUUCCUGGAAAUGCAAAGUUUAAUUGAGAAUGUCAGACCUCUCCUCAGGAAAAGACAAGUGUUUGUUUGCAGUGUAAGAACAAUCUUACUUCUGAACACCAGCUGCCUUUAAGGAACCAUCUGUGGACAGUCUGACCGAACAGCUUCUGAACUGGGUGGAAUGGCAGAAAUCGAUGGUCCUGUCGACUAAAGUUUGAACCAGCAACCUCUUAAUGGGUUAAAGCUGAAAAGUCUUGAGUUCUUGGUGGUGUUUAUAUUGGCUCUCCAGUUGUAAUGCAAGGUUAUUUUCUCUGUGCUGAAAGUUUCUCUUUUCUGUUCACCUCAUCCAGUGCUUUCUAAGCACGCUUUACUUUAAAUGGACUACUUCUGUUCAUGUUGGCUAUGAAAUUAUUUUAACAAGCUCAAAAAUUCUGUCCAGGCUCUCCAGACGUCUACUUCAGACAAUACUCCAGUGCUUUAUUCUGCAAGACAAGCAUGUCUUCCUUGCUCGGAGGAACGUACAUGCUAAUUUAGAGCUGUCCAGCCCCUAUCUCUUUGCACAGACUUUGUCCUUUAAUUGCCAUGGUAAUUUUCAUCGUGCUUUUGAGUAGAUGUGUUUGAAUGGGUUUAUGCUGGUGGAGCUCUAAUGUUUUUACCUUCUGGAUAAAGGUUUUUCUUGCCUUAAUUGAGAGCUUUCCAUAAAUUCUGCUUUUCUAAUCCUCGCUGUAUUUGUGUCACUGUUAGUGUACAUUGCUGUUGCUUCCAUCUUUUGCUCCUUCCCUCCCUCCCUCCAGUGCACAUUGGAUUUGAGCCUGUCACUUUGACCAAUUACCAUCGCUGACAGUGUGUCCGUCCCCCCGUGGAGCCGCCACUGGUUGCCGACUGGCUAACAGGACUAAUGCCUUAUUGCAUUAGAGACAAAUCAGUCCUCGGCACAGAUUUUAAUAAGCAUAUGCCACCGCUCAAGUGCCAUCGAGCAAUUGGAAAUGGGUGUGUGUGGGUAGGUGGUGGACCGAUCCGUAUGCAGGCUUCACCGUAAUGAGAAAUCGCAAAAGCAGAUAAUGGAAAUAUUUAAUUCAUUUCCCAGACAGAUACUAGGGGGUAAAGAAAACUAGUCUUAAGCAGGAGGAAAUAUUCAAACCCACUGUGUGCACUUAAUGGGUCUUUGUUUACAUGGUCAUAUCUAUUUAUGUCAGACAUGUAUGGCUUACAGCUGCUGGGGAAAUGCCUCUGGGGUAAUGUGCAAGGAAUGUGUGGUGGUCUCAAGCCGGGGCAUUGUGGCUUGGCAGCUCUUUCCUCUUAACACAUUGUGCAUGCUGAAAACAGGAAGCAUGGCUUUGCGAAUGCAAAUGAAACGCUCACACCACUGACUGUCUGUCUUCCUGCAUGGCUAUUUUGCUAGUUUCACACCUAACCAGUACACACUCCAGGGAGUCAGGGUUUUGAGUGCACGGGGAGGAGUUGUGACUGUUUCUGGCUCACCUCCUGGAGAGCCAUGGCUGCUGGCCACCUCCUUCAGUGUGAAAAGCUGGUAAUAUCUAAGCCUCCUAAAGGUCUCUCUCAUUGUGCUGUGAUGAAAAUGAAUUGAAUCCAUCCAUGUGGAAUCUGGCUUGAGUAAUCCGUAGCCCUCCAGGACUGAGAGUUGGACACCUCCACCUUGGUUUUCACUGAAGUAACAUUCCAUUGCAUGUUUUCCAACAUCCACAUAAGCAGACGCACAUAACACAAUGUCGGGAAACAAUGGGAAUUGCUUGGGAUUAGUGAUGAAAUACAAAUGCCAGGAGUCUGUAUUCUUUUGUUUCCCAAAGAGAUUGAUUGAGCCUGUAUUUACAAUUCAGCUAAACUGGAUUUGAGCUUACUAAAGUGCCUAGUUGUUGGCCUUAUCUCAGUAGAAGCAAACUAAACCUGUGGGGUCAGAGAAACCAUUCAGUGACUUUUUCAGAAUUUUUCUUUACAUUUGAAAGUCAUUCAAACUUGUUUGGAAGUUGGUGCAACCAAGAGCACACACACUCAGCCUGCAUAUUAUGUAUGACUACAAAGAGAAUACUUAAAUUCACAGAUGUUUUUACCUGUUUUGUCAAAAAUAAAAAAAAUAAUUCAUGAA